rnacentral:rRNA from 1 species
GAUGAACGCUAGCGGCAGGCUUAACACAUGCAAGUCGAGGGGUAUUGGUUUUCGGACCAAGAGACCGGCGCACGGGUGCGUAACGCGUAUGCAAUCUACCUUUUGCAGAGGGAUAGCCCAGAGAAAUUUGGAUUAAUACCUCAUAGUAUAGUACUUUGGCAUCAAGGAACUAUUAAAGUCACAACGGCAAAGAUGAGCAUGCGUCCCAUUAGCUAGUUGGUAAGGUAACGGCUUACCAAGGCUACGAUGGGUAGGGGUCCGUGAGAGGGAGAUCUCCCACACUGGUACUGAGACACGGACCAGACUCCUACGGGAGGCAGCAGUGAGGAAUAUUGGACAAUAGGGCGGCGAAGCCUCGAUCCAGCCAUGCCGCGUGCAGGAUGACGGUCCUAUGGAUUGUAACUGCUUUAUACAGGAAGAAACACUCCGACGUGUCGGAGGCUUGACGGUACUGUAAGAAUAAGGAU